rnacentral:lncRNA from 1 species
UAAGGUGGGCAGAAUCCAUUUUGUAGUCAUAGCACUGUGCCUUAAGCUAUACUUUUCUAAUUAGCUAAACCAUAAAAGGAAUAUGAACGUCCAUGCUUAUAGUGAAAGUAAACCACCGAGUGAAGGAUAAGCUCAAAUUAUGGUGUUUCACAGAGAGGUUUUUUUUUUUCAUAAAUAAAAUUCGUUUUCACUAUUACAUCAACUGUGAGAACGUGGUUUGACUGUGCACACUGACAUUACCUUUGAAGUGCUCCAAGCAAAUCUUGUGGCAUCUUGACCAGGCUCUAGAGAGACAAAGCCAGCAAAGCCACUUAUGACAUUGGGACUGUGAUGGUGGAUUUUAUGUUAAAGUCAAAACUUAUAAAUCUGGGGCUCUUCAGACCUUCCUUGACCUUCCAUUGAUGUCAGCGUCGGAUUUCAUUACCUUGCCUAGUAGUCCUAUUCUGACAUGUUGGUUGCCACAUGGAAGAAACUACUUCCUUUUGUGUUGAAGUUGCAAGAGUUGUACGGCAUUACCUUUCAUCCUAGACGCAUCAAGCAUAUACACUUACUUUCCUUCUAGUAUAUCCUUCCAUACCAUAAGCCAAGUACUGGACCUAAUUUUUCUUCCUAGAGCUAGCAUGUCUGUUGCUCUCCGACUCAUUGACACAGCCUUUUCCUUCUCCCUCA